AGUCCGCCAACGCCGCCGUCCCGAGCACAAGACCGAUGUGAGGCCGAAGCCAGACGGCUUGCUUCCCACGUCCGGGGCCGAGUGAAUACGUGUCAAGCCCUUUUCCUUCUUCUCGGAACAGCACCUUCUUACUAAACAGAUCGGAGAUUGGACCAGGAGGGCGGGGGAGGGAGGAGGAUCAUGAGCUGGGGGGAGGGUGAACGAGUGGCGGAAACCCUUAGGCUCAGAGAAGCAUCGAGAACCGGAAGGAGACCAUGGGAGGAAGUACCUCUUGACUUGCUACUGGUACCUGGAAGAGAUGUAACACCUGACCAUGGGACAUCAAGUGACUGUGUGAAUCAAACUGCCCAUCAUGAAUUGUUGUUAUUUGACUCAUCAAACUGUACAACUGGAUGAACACAGGAGCAGUGCACUACAUAUGGGACUGGAACCAUGAAUGAGCAGGUGACUCAGACUCCUAUAGUACCUGCCUCUACUCCUUCAGCACUUCUCCCUCAACCCACAUAAACUGUCAUCAUAAUGAGUUCCCUCUGACCAGUUAAUGGAAGAGAAAAAAGUAUGGAUGUUAUGGAUAUCCUAACAUAUUUCUGGCCAUUGGACCCCUAGAAACCUGUGGCAAGUCCUGGAAGUUUUUCAAGGUUCAUCUUGCACCUUCUAGCAUGCAUAUGUCGUACCAAAGCAUGUAGAAUGCUGCCUACUUCUGCUCUUCAGUUUCAUUUAAUAUAAUUUCAUUACUCUGAUAAAUCAGUGUGAUGUUCUAUGGAAUAACAAAAGACCAUCAAGGUCCCUUCAUACCAUAUAGAGAACAGGAGAGUUGAUGUAGCCUGAGACAAGACAGUAAGGACUUACUGUUAUCCCUCCUAUUUAAACGUAGUCUGUUUCUGAUUCUCCUUAGAAUGGGGGUGGGGGGACAUUUCCAGAUCAAUAUCAGAUCAGUAUCAUGUCAACAUGGGUAUUAAUUUCUUCCGAAGAAGAUACCACACCUAGAACAGCAACCAUAAUUGGCAUCCCUACCUAAUUAAAGUUUGCAGUCCACUGUCAUUCUUCACUAGCCAUCUG
rnacentral:lncRNA from 1 species